AGCGAACGCUGGCGGUAGGCCUAACACAUGCAAGUCGAACGGCAGCACAGUAAGAGCUUGCUCUUACGGGUGGCGAGUGGCGGACGUGAGAGGAAUACAUCGGAAUCUACUUUUUCGUGGGGGAUAACGUAGGGAAACUUACGCUAAUACCGCAUACGACCUACGGGUGAAAGCAGGGGAUCUUCGGACCUUGCGCGAUUGAAUGAGCCGCUGUCGGAUUAGCUAGUUGGCGGGGUAAUGGCCCACACAGGCGGCGAUCCGUAGCUGGUCUGAGAGGAUGAUCGGCCGCCCUGGAAGGGGAACACGCACCAGGGUACUACGGGAGGCAGCAGUCGGGAACGUUGGACAGUGGGGGGGAGCAUGGUCCAACCGUCGCAAGUCGGUGGAAAAGACCUUCGGGUUGGAAAGCCCGUUUGUUGGGUGAGAAAAGCAGCAGGUUAAUACCCCGCUGUUCUGACGGUACCCAAAGAAUAAGCACCGGCUAACUUCGUG
rnacentral:rRNA from 1 species